CGAGACCACGCCCCGUCCCUCCCGCCUGGGAGGAGACAGAGCCGCGAUGCGCAAGAAAAGUAACGGCUCGGAGCAACGCCCCUAAUUGCGGGGUAUCCUGGAAAGCUGUGUGAAAUCUUCCAAAGAAGAAAGCCGUUUCAUUCCAAUUAGGAACAUCCAACUUCAAAAUAAGCACUAAGUGUAGGAACCUCAGCACCCUUUCCUGUAUCCUCAGAGGUUUUCAACUGAGGAUCCUGCGUUGCUCCUUGAAACCCUACACAAGCCUUUGAGCAAGAACUCCUAGAAGUGAGCAACGUGUUGAAGAGAGGUAAAUACUGCAGUGGAUUUGGUUCCACAGAGAAUGCUGGAAGGAGAAAGAAGUGAAGAAAUAAACUUCACAAUAAUUUCCUGAGAUUUUUUUCUGAAAUUAUACUGUUGCAUUGUCAUCUAUGUAUGGAAGGUACAAUACCUUCCUUUUUGUUAAAAACACUGUAGAAACAUAUA